rnacentral:misc_RNA from 1 species
GAUGAAGAACGUAGCGAAAUGCGAUAAGUAAUGUGAAUUGCAGAAUUCAGUGAAUCAUCGAAUCUUUGAACGCACAUUGCGCCCCCUGGUAUUCCGGGGGGCAUUCCUGUCCGAGCGUCAUUACAACCCUCAAGCUCAGCUUGGUGUUGGGCCCCGCCGCCCCGGCGGGCCCUAAAGUCAGUGGCGGUGCCGUCCGGCUCCGAGCGUAGUAAUUCUUCUCGCUCUGGAGGUCCGGUCGUGUGCUCGCCAGCAACCCCCAAUUUUUUUCAGGUUGACCUCGGAUCAGGUAGGGAUACCCGCUGAACUUAAGCAUAUCAAUAAGCGGAGGA